GCCACGACAAUUACUUUUGAUUUUUAAUCUGCUCUAAUCCAACGACAAAGGUAAUAACGAAAUAUAGGUCGUCUACUCGCUGAAGAUAAUAUGUUUUGAUUUGCUUGAAAAACUAAGUUAUAUGCGUUUGACUCAGUAUCUGUAUCGGUAAUAUGGGAUGAUCGGGGAUUUCAGUGAGGAGCGUUAGGAAGUUGCUGGCCAAGAUUCUUUAUUUUAAUAAUGUAACAAAUGUAAUUAGGAUCUUUUAUUUAAUGCUAUGGAUUGGUUU
rnacentral:lncRNA from 1 species